rnacentral:rRNA from 1 species
UACGUAGGUGGCAAGCGUUGUCCGGAUUUAUUGGGUUUAAAGGGUGCGUAGGCGGCUUUGUAAGUCAGUGGUGAAAUAUGGCAGCUCAACUGUCAGGGUGCCAUUGAUACUGCGGAGCUUGAGUACAAAUGAGGUAGGCGGAAUUGACGGUGUAGCGGUGAAAUGCUUAGAUAUCGUCAAGAACACCGAUAGCGAAGGCAGCUUACUGGGCUGUAACUGACGCUGAGGCACGAAAGUGUGGGGAUCAAACGGG